ensembl:lncRNA
UGUGGCAUGGCAUUUGCAUUGCGAGAGUUUCUGGGUGUUUGGCUCCACGAGGCAAGGCAACACUAGUUGAUGAGUAGAGUUGACAUCUGAAAGAACAACAUAAAGACAGGUUGAGAAAAGCACUGCAGAAAUCACAUCAGUGACACGCCCAGUCCCUUGAGCGUAGGCUUCCUGUGUCACUGCAGUCUUUUUAGUCAGGUGUGUUUCCACCUGUACUGGCUGUGGUGAUACUCAGUCUGUAGGAUUACUUGAUGUAUCAGGUCUGUUGAGUUGAUCAAGCAUGAGCUGAAAGUGUCCUUCUACUCUAGGGAAACAUCUGGGUCCAGUGCUGUCCUCCCCAGGAUGUUUAUCUGACCUGCUGAGAAGCUUUCUGUCACCUUCAGGCAGAAGGUGGGAUUGCAGGAUUUGUCAGAUAGGUGAAGAAAUAAUUUCACUGAUGAUGCUCCAAUGUGUGCAAGACAUCUAAACAACUUCUGAAUGACCAUGCAAUAACUGUACACUGAUGACUUUGGUGAUGUUGUGGGAUGAGAAAAAAGGUUAUAAAAUAAACAAAAAUACACAAAAGAACGACCAUGUCAAAAUAAGGUCUCCAUUUUUCAGAGUAAAAUAUUCAGCAAACAGUUCAACUUUAUGUACAUUUUGUAUGUUUGUUUUGUGUCACAGGUCGGGAGGGCCAAGCUAGACUGCGCCCACCCCUAAACCAGCACCACCUCGAGGAGCGUAUCAGAGGGAAGAGUCGGAGACAGAGAAUAAAUUUAACAAGUUUUAUUUUGAAGUAAAAGCAAAUUGGAAAUCCUAAUCUAAAAUCUUCUUCUUUGUUGCCCUCAGGGAUUGAAGGUGAACAGUGCAGCGACCGGGGACUCUCCCGCCCUCUUCCUCUGUGCGGGCCCCGCAAUAGAUGGACAGAUGGGUGGUCAAGUAGGUAUUUCACAGGUGGGGAUACGAUCGGCAAGCCAGCAGUCUGGUAAGUCUCCUCUGAUAAUUAAAUACUUCCAAACUUCCUUCCCUUUUUCACAGAUGCAGAAUUUGGGACGGAUGGAUAUCGGUCAGGUCCGUACACGGCAGAUACACAGCCUUGAGGUACGGAAUUUGAGGUGAAUGAUAUCAGUCGAGUACGUAUACGGCAGGUGCACGGUCUUACAGUAAGGUGGCUUCUCCUGACACCGUCAGAGUGGAUAUUCCAGACAAAGCGUGCCAACCUCACGUUCGUGACAAAGGACAGUCACCUCUCUCAGCACAGGUGGGCCACAAGGAUGCAACAAACUCGAGGUCAACAGGCUGUGCAGGGUUUCUACUGAGACAGACAGAAUGAAUGCU